AGUGAACGCUGGCGGUAGGCCUAACACAUGCAAGUCGAACGGCAGCACAGUAAGAGCUUGCUCUUACGGGUGGCGAGUGGCGGACGGGUGAGGAAUACAUCGGAAUCUACUUUUUCGUGGGGGAUAACGUAGGGAAACUUACGCUAAUACCGCAUACGACCUACGGGUGAAAGCAGGGGAUCUUCGGACCUUGCGCGAUUGAAUGAGCCGAUGUCGGAUUAGCUAGUUGGCGGGGUAAAGGCCCACCAAGGCGACGAUCCGUAGCUGGUCUGAGAGGAUGAUCAGCCACCCUGGAACUGGGACACGGUCCAGACUCCUACGGGAGGCAGCAGUGGGGAAUAUUGGACAAUGGGCGCAAGCCUGAUCCAGCCAUACCGCGUGGGUGAAGAAGGCCUUCGGGUUGUAAAGCCCUUUUGUUGGGAAAGAAAAGCAGCAGGUUAAUACCACGCUGUUCUGACGGUACCCAAAGAAUAAGCACCGGCUAACUUCGUG
rnacentral:rRNA from 1 species